AACACGUGUAACUGCAGCAAUAGAGACAACAACAUUGCGUUUCAAGCACGGCACAACCACUAUAAUGAUUCCUUCUAACAUUACGGGAGUUGGGCUAUGUCUUGAUUGCUUCUCCCAAGUUGUUCCUCCUAGACUUUUUCAGUGUUCAAUAAUGUUUGCUCCUCUACCUGAUUCUCUACAGAAGAUGCAGCUGCUUCCGUAGCGGCCAGCAAUUUAAACGGGGUGUUUCCGAUUGCAACGGUUGCAGCAGCAUGGACAAUAAUGUUGCUUUUCAAGCACGUCUCAACCGAUGCCCUAGACAAGAUGUUGCGGUUUUUCGCAGAGUGAUGUGCCGUUAUCCAAAAAACCGUUGCUUUAUCAACCUUUGCCAUUGUCUGAAGGAAUGCGUGAUCGAAAUGCUGGAUAAAAAGACUCACCACUGACAAUGACAAGAUUGAAGGAUCCGGGAUUAGAAAGGAAGCAUCGAACCUGCAUUCGUUUAGAUACUAUGAACUACUAGAUAGAGGAAGAAGCGUUAACAUGUAUAACUGCAACAGCAGAGACAACAACAUUGUGUUUCAAGCACAGCGUGAUCAGUACCUUCAAAGAGAGGUUGCCGCUUGUUGGAGGGUCAUCUGUCGCUGCCCUAAAAAUCAGCGUUUCAUCAACAUGUGUAAACUGUUUGAAGGUCCCCGUGUUCCGGUAUCUCAUCAUCUCUCGAUUCACUUCCUUUAUUGUUGAUGUCCUGAUCAUCGCUAUCUUCUUCAGCUUGAGUGGUGAUGUGCUCCUUCUUCGCGUAUCUUUCGCAGUAGUUUAUGCCCACAAAUGAGAAUGAUCAAACCAUCUAUUGAUUGUGUUUAGUAUCUUUGCUCCAA